rnacentral:rRNA from 1 species
CAGCCUGCAACUCGGCUGCAUGAAGCUGGAAUCGCUAGUAAUCGCGGAUCAGAACGCCGCGGUGAAUGCGUUCCCGGGUCUUGUACACACCGCCCGUCACACCAUGGGAGCCGGAAACGCCCGAAGCCAGCGGCCUAACCGCAAGGAGGGAGCUGUCGAAGGCGGGGCCGGUGACCGGGGUGAAGUCGUAACAAGGUAUC